GAUGAACGCUGACAGAAUGCUUAACACAUGCAAGUCUACUUGAUUCUACUUCGGUAGUUGAUGGUGGCGGACGGGUGAGUAACGCGUAAAGAAUCUGCCCUUUAGUUCGGGAUAACCUUUGGAAACGAAGGAUAAUACCGGAUAUUAUGGAGACGUCGCAUGACGAUUUCAUGAAAGCUAUAUGCGCUAGAGGAGGACUUUGCGUCCCAUUAGUUAGUUGGUGAGGUAAUGGCUCACCAAGACCGCGAUGGGUAGCCGGCCUGAGAGGGUGAUCGGCCACAAGGGAACUGAGACACGGUCCUUACUCCUACGGGAGGCAGCAGUGGGGAAUAUUGGACAAUGGGCCACAAGCCUGAUCCAGCAAUUCUGUGUGCACGAUGAAGGUCUUCGGAUUGUAAAGUGCUUUCAGUAGGGAAGAAAAAAAUGACGGUACCUACAGAAGAAGCGACGGCUAAAUAUGUGCCAGCCGCCGCAGUAA
rnacentral:rRNA from 1 species